rnacentral:lncRNA from 1 species
AGAAUCCAUAAUCAUUCAUUAUAAAUAUCAUCAUCUAUAAGUCUAAAGUCAAGCAUACCUAUUAACUAUACAUCAAAAUGUUUCAUCCAUACCAUAUGUUAAGGUGAUAAUCAUCACCAAACACAUCAAAAUGUAAAUUAAAAAUUCCAAAAUAUCUGAUCUUGCUAUUCAUCCAAACAACCAUCAUGUAGAUAAAAUAUUCUUAUACCAAAACUGGAUUUUGCUUGUAGACAACUCCACCAUGAUCAUCUGAACAAAAGCUAUCCAUGUACCAGAAACUAGAUUUCACAUGCUCAUAACUCCACCAUGUAUCUGAGAAAGCAAAAAAGAAUACACAAUCAAUAACCACAUGUGAAAAAUAAUAAACUAAAAUUCAAGUAUAAGUUCAUAAUGACAUUUCGCUUAAUUUGGUCCAAAUCUCUAAAUAACCUACGUAAUAUAAAUGAGAAUACAUACCAACGAGUAUUUGUAGCAUCAGUUGAAAACAUGGCCCCAUCAUGAUGGAUAGAUGACUUGUGUGUUUGAGUCUUUUCCUUUAAGAACUCUGUCACCAAACUUGUAAGAUGUGCAAUUUACUUCUGUUCUUCCUC